UACGAGAGGCCCAAACGUUAUUCGGAUUUACUGGGCUUAAAGAGUUCGUAGGCGGCGCAGAAAGUAGGGUGUGAAAGCCCUCGGCUCAACCGAGGAAUUGCGCCCUAAACUACUGUGCUAGAGGAAGCUAGAGGUGAGCAGAACAGAUGGUGGAGCGGUGAAAUGCGUUGAUACCAUCUGGAAUACCGGAGGCGAAGGCGGCUCACUGGGGCUUUUCUGACGCUGAGGAACGAAAGCCAGGGUAGCGAACGGG
rnacentral:rRNA from 1 species